rnacentral:rRNA from 1 species
GACGAACGCUGGCGGCGUGCCUAAUACAUGCAAGUUGAGCGCUGAAGGUUGGUACUUGUACCAACUGGAUGAGCAGCGAACGGGUGAGUAACGCGUGGGGAAUCUGCCUUUGAGCGGGGGACAACAUUUGGAAACGAAUGCUAAUACCGCAUAAAAACUUUAAACACAAGUUUUAAGUUUGAAAGAUGCAAUUGCAUCACUCAAAGAUGAUCCCGCGUUGUAUUAGCUAGUUGGUGAGGUAAAGGCUCACCAAGGCGAUGAUACAUAGCCGACCUGAGAGGGUGAUCGGCCACAGUGGGACUGAGGCACGGCCCAAACUCCUACGGGAGGCAGCAGUAGGGAAUCUUCGGCAAUGGACGAAAGGCUGACCGAGCAACGCCGCGUGAGUGAAGAAGGUUUUCGGAUCGUAAAACUCUGUUGGUAGAGAAGAACGUUGGUGAGAGUGGAAAGCUCAUCAAGUGACGGUAACUACCCAGAAAGGGACGGCUAACUACGUG